GUAUAUAUGCAUAUAACAGAUUGAAUUAGAUAAUCUGUUCCUAAAAAAUAUUGGUAUUUGUGAUUUGCUUCUUUUUUGGAUAUUGUAUUUUAGUAUUUGAUUUGUUUCGUAGAGUUACAGAUAUCCAAAUUUUUUGGUUCAGAUCAAAACGGAUAACGAAUCGAAUCAAAAUAUAUAAAUAUUUUGCUCAAUUGUAUCCAUUAACAAUAAAAAUAAUAUAUAUAGUUUGGCUUUUGAUUCGUUAUCUAUUUUUAUUCAAACAGAAAAAUCUAGAGUUUUAUUGGAAUCAUGCAUGUGAGUUUUAUAUU